GAUGCAUGAACACUUUUAUGGAUUCUUAGCAAGACAGCUGGCUCUUCAUGGAAGUGUGUAAAACAAAUAAUAACAGUGAAGCCUGGAGACAUCCUCUGCACUUACAAAGGACCAGCUCCUGUGAUCUCUUCUGAGAAGACCACCCCCACCUGCUGUCUCUGAGCACUUUGAACUCACUCCCUUGUCUCCAUGGUGGCACUCAACACCUUGCAUCACAUGUGGUACUUUGCAUGUCUAUGUCCUCUAGGGAUGUGUGUUAUCAUCUCUGAAAACCCAAUGACAUGCAGCAUGGUGCCUAGGUCAGUGAAUAUUUGUUGAUUAACUAGACUCAACACUCGUUGCCAUGGAGAUGAAGCAAUGUACUGCUUUUACUUGUAGGAAUCCAAAGCUGGAUCUAGUUUUUUGUUUUUGUCUUUUUAAAAUGAACUAAACUCCAUACUUUCUAGUUUUGAAUGUUUAACUGACGUAGGAAUUGCUGAAUGGUUUUGAAAUUGAACUAAAGAGCUUUAGUUCAAAGGCAGCCUUGAACCAGUUUCCUUCCAGUCCUGAUGAAGUAAUAUGCUUGUGCCUUAAAUCUGUUUAUUUUCUUCAGAUGCUCCAGUAUGCCAUUUGAAAGCCUUCCAAAUGGAAUCCAUACUCUUUGAGACUGCCUUGGUUUUUGUUUCGUUAAUGGCUCUCUUGGAAGUCUAGCAGCCCCAUUAAAAAAAAAAAGUGAGUUUCUCAUCCUGGACCAAAGACCAGGAGGAAGUCAGUUUCCAUUUGGAAUACUGAAGGAACAGCUACUGUCUGAAUCCUCAUUGCAGCCAUACCAGUUGCUUGUCUUUGCCUGCAUGUCAACCAUCAAAUGAUGAACCAGCCUAGCCUCUUAAGGCACAGACACAUCUAACCUUAGCUAAUAGGAGAUAUCCCAAGAAAUGCAAGUAAACAAUGCUUGGGCAAACCAAUGCACAUUUCCAGUGAAACAGAAAGAAGGGGCCAUCUGUACCAGAGGUUGCAUUUGAUGCUCUGGAAACUCACCACCUGCUUGAGAAACAUGUUUUCUAUAGCCAAGAGCAUAUUAUUCUGAUCUUGAACUCUGUUCAACAGCCAAGCCUGUGCUUGUGUCUGACCAAAAGGUCAAGGAUGAGCCCCUCAUUUGGCCACUUCUGGAGCCCCCACCCUCUGUCACCACCUCCCCAGGCCCCAGUCUGACCAGAAAGAAUGAGGUCUAACAGGAAACUCUCCCCCGGGGCAAAGGGAGCUGGGGCAAGGGCCUCCAUGGCCACAGGGAGAUGAUAUUCUUUCCUUUGCCCAACACGCGCCUUUCUCCAUCCCACCCCACCUUGGGAUCCUUUAUCUCCCAAAAGAUAGAAAGAGAGAGAUCUAUAGAGGGAGACAGGCAUAAAUCAAAUAUCUUUUAUGUUUGUGGUUAAAAAACUGCUGAGUUGGCUGGGUGUGGUGGCUCACGCCAGGAAUCCCAGCACUUGGGGUGCCAAGGCGGGUAGAUCAAUUGAGGUCAGGAGUUCGAGACCAGCCUGGCCAGCAUGAUGAAAUCCCAUCUCUACUAAAGAUACAAAAAUUAGCCGGGCAUGGUGGCAGGUACCUGUAAUCCCAGCUACUCAGGAGGGUGAGACAGGAGAAUUGCUUGGACCCAGGAGGCAGAGGUUGCAGUAAACCAAGAU
rnacentral:lncRNA from 10 species